GACGAACGCUGGCGGCGUGCUUAACACAUGCAAGUCGAACGGAAAGGCCCUGCUUUUGUGGGGUGCUCGAGUGGCGAACGGGUGAGUAACACGUGAGUAACCUGCCCUUGACUGUGGGGUAACUUCAGGAAACUGGGGGUAAUACCGGAUAGGAGCUCCUGCUGCAUGGUGGGGGUUGGAAGGGUUCGGCGGUUGGGGAUGUGCUCGCGUUUGAUUAGCUAGUUGGAAGGGUAGUGGCCUAGCAUGGCGUCGAUGCGUAGCUGGGCUGAGAGGGUGACCAGCCAGGCUCGGACUGAGACCCCGCCCAGACUCGUACGGGAGGCAGCAGUAGGGAAUAUUGGACGAUGGACGCAAGCCUGAUCCAGCAAUGCCGCGUGAGUGAGGCAGGCGUGUGGGAUGUAAAUUUCUCUUACCCGGGAUGGUAAUGACAGUAACGGGAGAAUAAGCCCCGGCUAACUCCGUG
rnacentral:rRNA from 1 species